AAAAAGAUAAGCUAAGUAAGCUAUUGGGUUCAUAUCCCACAUAUGAAAAUUUCAGAUUUUCUCUUUUUA
rnacentral:tRNA from 1 species